rnacentral:tRNA from 1 species
GACUCCGUAGCUCAGCUGGUAGAGCAAAUGACUCUUAAUCAUUGGGUCGAGGGUUCGAUCCCCUCCGGGGUUA